rnacentral:rRNA from 1 species
UACAGAGGGUGCAAGCGUUGCUCGGAAUUAUUGGGCGUAAAGCGCACGUAGGCGGCUUGUUAAGUCGGAUGUGAAAGCCCCGAGCUCAACUCGGGAAGUGCAUUCGAAACUGGCGAGCUUGAGUAUGGAAGAGGGUCGCGGAAUUCCCGGUGUAGAGGUGAAAUUCGUAGAUAUCGGGAGGAACACCAGUGGCGAAGGCGGCGACCUGGGCCAAUACUGACGCUGAGGUGCGAAAGCGUGGGGAGCAAACAGG